CCUAUGGGUGGCAGCAGUGGGGAAUAUUGGGCAAUGGGCGCAAGCCUGACCCAGCAACGCCGCGUGAAGGAAGAAGGCUUUCGGGUUGUAAACUUCUUUUCUGAGGGACGAAGAAAGUGACGGUACCUCAGGAAUACGCCACGGCUAACUACGUGCCAGCAGCCGCGGUAAUACGUAGGUGGCAAGCGUUAUCCGGAUUUGUGGGGUGUAAAGGGCGUGUAGGCGGGAAAGGAAGUCAGAUGUGAAAACUCAGGGCUCAACCCUGAGCCUGCAGUUGAAACUGUUUUUCUUGAGUGCUGGGGAGGCAAUCGGAAUUCCGGGUGUAGCGGUGAAAUGCGUAGAUAUACGGAGGAACACCAGUGGCGAAGGCGGAUUGCUGGACAGUAACUGACGCUGAGGCGCGAAAGCGUGGGGAGCAAACAGGAUUAGAUACCCGAGUAGUC
rnacentral:rRNA from 1 species